rnacentral:antisense_RNA from 1 species
CUUCAGGGAGCCCAGGUGCAGCGGGCGGUCCGCCGGCCGGUCCUGGCCGUAGGUGGCGAGGAGGGCCUGGGCCUC